GGGGCGCCGUCAGCUGACAGACGAGCCGAAGAACGAAGCAUGUGAUUGUAUCGAAGGAAGAACAAAGGAGCGGCAAUGCCUUCUUGCAGUGUGCCCGGGUGCCGCUCGCGCGCGAUAAGAAAGGAACCGGGCGUCACCUUCCACGCCUUUCCCAAAGAUCCCCGUCGUCGGAGGCUAUGGAUCGAAGCCAUAAGACCCGGUCAACGCGACUGGGAACCGGCGAAGUCGGCUUGUGUGUGCUCAAAACACUUUGCACUUGAACACUUCAAUCGGGCGUCGCCGCUGGUAGUUCGCCUCCACGAGGAUGCCGUCCCUGCCCCGGUGAGAGACCGCAAUAACUGCGCCCUGGAGAUUUUCCAAUAAAUUUCCAACUUUGUGCUUCAUGUUUAUUCAGCUGAAUGCAAGAAAGCAAUGGUGCAAUUCGGCAGGAUGGUCGCCGCGGACAGCUCGAUCGCUUUUUUUUUUUUCAGGAGAAACGGUAAGUUCAGGGCACGCGACAUUUUAGAGUCACUGUAUAUGCUACCUAAAGGUAGCAUAUACAGUAACUCUACGCGACGUAAUCUAACAGCAACAUCUGAAUUGGUCUUCUUACGUAGGGGCAUGCGGCGCCUCCAGAUUAUCCCCGGCCUGUGUGUGUCUUAACGUUUGCACGAACGUCGUGGCACUCGAGCCUACAGUGGCACGGGUCGGUCGUCUACGACCGCAUAGAAGAUAACUUUGGCGCACAUGAACUUACCGCGCACAAAAGGUAAAAAAUCCGAGCGCUCCAAGUUGCUUUACAAAUCACCUGACUGAGUGAAACAAUAUUGGGUCAGGCACGUCUUUUCUACCCUUGACGCUGGAACCUUCGCUGAGCGCUCCGGGCCAAUGCUUUCCAAUCGUUGUCACCGUCGUGCGCGGGAACGGGUCACCGCCGUCUCCCACAUUAAGAGGUGUCGUUUCUUUUUCUCGGAAAUGUAGCAUUUCACCGCUAAGGGGGACAACAGCACGAUGCCAAAGGCUAACAAGGAAGCUGCGGCGCGAAGCCUUUGCGGAGAAGCUGUAGCGGGCUUCGAAAACAACCACUUGCGUCUGCAUGCUGAAUGAACUGAACACGCAAUCGUGAAGACCGACGCUCACUGUAGGCUUCCAAAACCGUGCGUCAUCCGCGAAACGAAACGAUCGCAUAAAAAUGCAUAUUCGCAACUCUCUGGCCGGCUCUGUGGUGGUGGAGCAGAGUACACGAGCCGGCGGCGUGCCCGAGGAAUCCCA